GGAGUCGGGCGCAUUUAUGCAGAUGUCUUGCCUUUGUGUGCGUGCGUGCGUGUGCGUGUGGAGCCGCGGGAGGAGCACAGCCGGGCCUCUGCAUGAGACCCGGCCCAGUCCCUAAAAUCGGGCAGAGAGGACCUGCGGGACUGCACGAGCAUGAAGCCGCAGCCUGGGGCCGCAGGGCUGCGUAGAUCGCGUGCAGCCGGGCUUCCUUCUGCAAUAUUCUGGGAGUUGUAGGAGAAAUUGGGAAAGCUUCAGGCCAGCGUGUCAAACGCAGCUUUAUUUUAUUUUAAUUUGUUCAUUGAAAACGAAAAGCGUUGCUUGGAGCGAAGGGGAAAUGGAGAACGGGGCUGUGUGUGACUUUGCACAUCCUUGAAUUCUUCCGGGCAGAAGAGAUCGAGUCGUGCUGCGGCGGCACGGGGAGCAUUUCCUUGGCUGCAGCUCCAGAGAGAGAGGCAAAACGGAGAAUUAUUUCAGUUAAGGAAAGACUGGGGCUGUUUGGGCAAAUUAAAUAGCUGGAAGGGUUCCCUGUAAAUGUGUCCACGGGGCUGCGGAGGCCGGCACCUACCCAAGCUUUGCGCCUGGCCACCAGGGCGAUGGAUGACGGCUCUCCGGGCUGUCCCCUCCUUCCUCUAGGGGAAAGAAAAGAAUUUUAUUCUGUGAAUAGGACCAAAUGCAUCGCUCUGGUUAGUUCUAGAGGAUGGAUUAAAAAACAAACAAACGUGUUGGCGAAUAAGGGGUUGUCAGAAGAGACGAACAAAGGGUGGUUCGGUAAAGCUAAAAAUGUUUUGAUGCUGUUUUCUCCCCUUUCACCCAACCUGUUCAGCUUUGAUGUUUCACCCCUUAGGGGUGGAUGUGAGCUGUUAUUUUCUCCAAAGACUCAAGAACAAAAGUGGGGCCCAGCCGUGCUGCCCGAGCGCUGGGGGAGGCUGCGGGGGACCCUCCGCAACGAACACUCCCUGGGGCCUCGGCAGCCCCACAGAGCACCCCAAAAAGCCUCCCUGGGACAGCCUGGCCCCCUGGCUCAUGGGUGAGUGUGUUUGUGUGUGGGUGUGUGUGUGUGUACAGGGGGGUGUGUGUGUGUGUACAGGGGGGUGUGUGUGUGUACAGGGGUGUGCGUGCAGGGCUGCGUGUGAGUGCACGCGUGUGAGUGCGACUCGCUCCUCAGGUGCCUUUGCCUUUGUGUUUUUUUUUUUUUUUAAACCCUCGCAGUGUUCUGAUGUACAAAAUGAAAACUAGAAGAGAAUGUAAUAUUAUGCCAUGUAAA